AACGAACGCUGGCGGCAGGCCUAACACAUGCAAGUCGAACGCACCGCAAGGUGAGUGGCGCACGGGUGAGUAACACGUGGGAAUGUAUCCUUUGGUUCGGAAUAACGUCUGGAAACGGACGCUAAUACCGGAUGAGCCCUUAGGGGGAAAGAUUUAUCGCCGAAGGAGCAGCCCGCGUCUGAUUAGGUAGUUGGUGGGGUAAAGGCCUACCAAGCCGACGAUCAGUAGCUGGUCUGAGGGGAUGAUCAGCCACACUGGGACUGAGACACGGCCCAGACUCCUACGGGAGGCAGCAGUGGGGAAUAUUGGACAAUGGGCGCAAGCCUGAUCCAGCCAUGCCGCGUGAGUGAUGAAGGCCUUAGGGUUGUAAAGCUCUUUCGCCGACGAAGAUAAUGACGGUAGUCGGAGAAGAAGCCCCGGCUAACUUCGUGCCAGCCGCCGCAGUAAUAC
rnacentral:rRNA from 1 species